rnacentral:tRNA from 1 species
GCGGGUGUAGCUCAAUGGUAGAGUUCUAGCCUUCCAAGCUAGCCACGAGGGUUCGAUUCCCUCCACCCGCUCCA